GCCCGUCCACUUGUGGUUUCAGUGAUUCACUUAGUAUUCCUUUGAUUAGCAUUCUGUAUGUGUCCAUUCCCACUUGGCGUGGUGUUCGCGAGUGUGCGUGCGUAUUCGCGAAUGGCGACUGCUCCGAUAAUAAUGGCCAGUAAUUAUUUGUUUACGCUCGCCGCCGUCGUCGUCGUCGUCGUUCACUCGAAUACGUUCUCUCACCCGACGUUUUAACUGAUCUCUAUUGUAAUAAUGUAUAUUGUACUGUAUUGUUGUUACGACUCUUUUACAUCACAACCUAAUUUUAUAUUUUAGAGUUAUGAGGUAUAUUUCGGGCUAACGGCUCCUUCACAAAUGCAAUUCAGGGCCGCUGUACUGUGUGAGUAUGGGACAUCCACAAUGUGAAAACCAUCAACAACCCCUCCGCUCGCUCUUCUUGUCCUCCGACCAAUCCACACACCCACAAUUGGUCUGUUGGCGUGUUUUUGAAAACAAUGAGGAUUCAGUUAUUAUGUUUCAAGUUGAG